CUGCAUUUAAGCAGUCCUGACUGCCGCAAAGAACAGGGAAGAGCAGAUAGUGUUGGCAGCAUGUUGACCAUUUCUAUUCUGCCUUGAAUCUGUAGAUCUCCUCCUCCCAAAUGGUUGGCCUCCUGAGAUUUUGAAAAUUAAGUCCUUUGUGCCAUCAUUGGUCAAUCAACCAUAUGGAGCUAAAGUACUAAAGAGGCAACAAGACUUUAAAAAUGGAGGAACGGUGCUGUUCGUAGUUUGGAGGUGACUAACUUCAGAUUCU